ACUCAGCGACGCCAGGCAGAAGCGCCGGCACGGCUGGCAUGCAAACAGAUCGAGCGGCGUGACUGGCAGCGUACAUCGCUUGAUUGGAGCGUCCCCCUCCUAAGGGGACGGCGCCGCAGUGACGUCUGCUUUAGGGAACCGCGCCGUAGUGACGUACCACUUGCACUGCGGUUUGAUGACCCGGCCGAUUAAGAGCAGCCAACAAAACGACUCUGCAGCUGCCAUGCGGGCGCGGCCGGUGCUCGAAAUCCUCAUGUACCCCGCACACGCCAGUUGCUCCGCGCCGUCCGCAACCACCUGACGAUUAGU
rnacentral:sRNA from 1 species